AAACUUAAAGGAAUUGACGGGACCCCGCACAAGCGUGGGUCAUGUGUUUAAUUCGAUGAUACGCGAAGAACCUUACCAGGUCUUGACAUCCCCGCAAUGCUAUGGAGACAUAGCGGAGGUAUUCGGGAGACAGGUGGUGCAUGGUUGUCGUCAGCUCGUGUCGUGAGAUGUUGGGUUAAGUCCCGCAACGAGCGCAACCCUUAUUGCUAGUUACCAUCAUUGAGUUGGGGACUCUAGCGAGACUGCCAGUGAUAAACUGGAGGAAGGUGGGGAUGACGUCAAAUCAUCAUGCCCCUUAUGACCUGGGCUACAAACGUGAUACAAUGGCUGAAACAGAGGGAGGCGAAGGGGUGACCUGGAGCGAAACCCAGAAAAACAGUCUCAGUUCGGAUUGAAGUCUGCAACUCGACUUCAUGAAGUCGGAAUCGCUAGUAAUCGCGGAUCAGAACGCCGCCGUGAAUACGUUCUCGGGGUUU
rnacentral:rRNA from 1 species